rnacentral:rRNA from 1 species
UUAUGAGAGUUUGAUCCUGGCUCAGGACGAACGCUGGCGGCGUGCCUAAUACAUGCAAGUCGAACGCUUCUUUUUCCACCGGAGCUUGCUCCACCGGAAAAAGAGGAGUGGCGAACGGGUGAGUAACACGUGGGUAACCUGCCCAUCAGAAGGGGAUAACACUUGGAAACAGGUGCUAAUACCGUAUAACAAUCAAAACCGCAUGGUUUUGAUUUGAAAGGCGCUUUCGGGUGUCGCUGAUGGAUGGACCCGCGGUGCAUUAGCUAGUUGGUGAGGUAACGGCUCACCAAGGCCACGAUGCAUAGCCGACCUGAGAGGGUGAUCGGCCACAUUGGGACUGAGACACGGCCCAAACUCCUACGGGAGGCAGCAGUAGGGAAUCUUCGGCAAUGGACGAAAGUCUGACCGAGCAACGCCGCGUGAGUGAAGAAGGUUUUCGGAUCGUAAAACUCUGUUGUUAGAGAAGAACAAGGAUGAGAGUAACUGUUCAUCCCUUGACGGUAUCUAACCAGAAAGCCACGGCUAACUACGUGCCAGCAGCCGCGGUAAUACGUAGGUGGCAAGCGUUGUCCGGAUUUAUUGGGCGUAAAGCGAGCGCAGGCGGUUUAUUCAGGCAAUCAGCUGAUCUAUGGGGGAAACGAAGCAGGAAAAUCAAAACUGGGAGACUUGAGUGCAGAAGAGGAGAGUGGAAUUCCAUGUGUAGCGGUGAAAUGCGUAGAUAUAUGGAGGAACACCAGUGGCGAAGGCGGCUCUCUGGUCUGUAACUGACGCUGAGGCUCGAAAGCGUGGGGAGCAAACAGGAUUAGAUACCCUGGUAGUCCACGCCGUAAACGAUGAGUGCUAAGUGUUGGAGGGUUUCCGCCCUUCAGUGCUGCAGCUAACGCAUUAAGCACUCCGCCUGGGGAGUACGACCGCAAGGUUGAAACUCAAAGGAAUUGACGGGGGCCCGCACAAGCGGUGGAGCAUGUGGUUUAAUUCGAAGCAACGCGAAGAACCUUACCAGGUCUUGACAUCCUUUGACCACUCUAGAGAUAGAGCUUCCCCUUCGGGGGCAAAGUGACAGGUGGUGCAUGGUUGUCGUCAGCUCGUGUCGUGAGAUGUUGGGUUAAGUCCCGCAACGAGCGCAACCCUUAUUGUUAGUUGCCAUCAUUCAGUUGGGCACUCUAGCAAGACUGCCGGUGACAAACCGGAGGAAGGUGGGGAUGACGUCAAAUCAUCAUGCCCCUUAUGACCUGGGCUACACACGUGCUACAAUGGGAAGUACAACGAGUUGCGAAGUCGCGAGGCUAAGCUAAUCUCUUAAAGCUUCUCUCAGUUCGGAUUGCAGGCUGCAACUCGCCUGCAUGAAGCCGGAAUCGCUAGUAAUCGCGGAUCAGCACGCCGCGGUGAAUACGUUCCCGGGCCUUGUACACACCGCCCGUCACACCACGAGAGUUUGUAACACCCGAAGUCGGUGAGGUAACCUUUUGGAGCCAGCCGCCUAAGGUGGGAUAGAUGAUUGGGGUGAAGUCGUAACAAGGUAGCCGUAUCGGAAGGUGCGGCUGGAUCACCUCCUUU